CUGCCUCUCGGGAUGGAAGAGAGAGAAGAGCAGGCACAUGAACCCUGAGUGCACCUAUGAGAUGGGCCAGGCUGUAUCACCAUUCUUCCACUCUUUUCAUCCAGCUGUAUCAGGCUGUAUAGAUUUGAAAAGUAGAAUCAAGAGGGAAACGAAUGAAACAAGGAAUAAGGAGUUGAAAUUCAUCUGAGUUUUGAUCCUAAAGUGACUACCAGACUAUUUUUGCAACAUUCUGCCACUGCUGCAGUCAUCAGAGAAAUCAACUGAAACCAUCUUAGUUUUGAAGCUGUCUCAAGUGGAUGCGACAGCUGGAAGACUUCUAAAAAUAGUGGAUUUACCAAAAUUACAGACCCAGAAUCUUUCCCCUUUCUCCCUAUUUUGUAAAAAUUACAGCAGGCAGACCGCAAUAUUUUUCUAUGUGUGUUAAAUUUAUUGAAUCUUAAUCUCUGUUUAUAUUCUCUUCAUACUCUGGUAAUUGACAUACCUGUAGUGUAUCCCACUUUGCCACAGUGACAAGAGACUGCCUAGACUAGAAAAACUUUUGAAAGGCAAUAAGUGAGAUCAUAUUAAUUUAAGCCACAUUCAUCCACUUGAGACCUUCAUACAAUUAAAGAAAAAAAAAUCAUGCUCUGUAAUCUAUAUACUUAAUGUGUUCCACAAAAGCCACCAACAAUAAACUUAUAAACAAUCAGUGGCUUCACUUUAAUUGCUUAACAUACCUUAGUGGAAGGGUAGAACCUUAAAAAACAAGCACAUUUGCAUGAUUUUUGUCAUGGAUUAUACCAAAGUGUCUACACAUGUACAGAUGUGCUGUGGCGCUGAACAGCCUGCAGUUCACAGCCAAGGAUUAUAAAGAAAAAAGUUACUUUGUAUAGUGCUUUCUUCUUACAGAAGGUAUUAUGUUAGUGUCCUCUUUUCAGAUUUCUUUAUGUUUACUUGAAAAUUGCUAAAUUGGUCAGUUUGUGAAUUUUUUUGAAAAUAACCAUAUUGUCAGGAAGUACACUCUUCUCAUUGCCUACACAUGGUAAUCAUGGGAAAAGCCACAAUCAACAGUUUUUCCAAAUAACAAUUUUUUACCCUUUCUGCAUCUUCCACUUUCCAGCUCUGGCCUUUCAGUUUCUCAUGGCCAUUCCCUCAAAGCCAUCAGAAAACUGGGAGACACCUGAAUAUGCUGACUCUUAUGUUCUGCUCAUUUCUUUUGAAAGCACGAUCCUCAUUUGAUUAGCAGUGAGCAAGAACAGGCAACCCUCUAAAGCUGCUAAAAGGAGAGUUGCUGUAAUGAACAGAGAAAAUAAACCUACAUGAGCAUUCAGCUGUACACAGGCUGUGGAGCAAAGUCAAACUGCACCACUUGUGGCUUUGUUUGAGUAUCAUUUCACAAGGGCCUGAGAAGGGGACUGGAAUUACUAGUGAAAAGGCAUAGCAUGAAAAAUGGCAAUAACAGGUGCAUGUUUUAAUAGCAUUAGCCAGCAACACCUGUAACUGAUAGACCAGAGCAUGGGACUUCUAAUAAAUGGAUACUGUCCAUCUCUAUAAUUAUAUGCUGGAAAAUUUCAUUUCUAAAAUCUGUGAUAAAUUACUACAGAAUGGAAGGCAUGCUGGCACCUUUCCAGUCAUUGAGUUCUUAGCCUCAUUUCAGACUUUGCCCAAAGGACCUGCAUUAGAUAAGCAAAAGAUUAGGGUGGAUGCAUCUGGACAGAAUCUGAAUGAGGGUGGAAUACAGACUGCUUGUGUAUCUGAAGCAACACCACUAUGGGAGGAAUUGUGGUUCCCACAGACUAGCAAAGAAUAUCAAGGCUGAUAAAUGCAUUGAGAAAAUGGGGGACAGUAAUUUUCUGAGAAUGAUGCAAUGAAGACGAAGAUGGUGCAGGGUAAGAAAAUUGGUAUUAAAUGAGAAAUAUAUGUGGACCAACCACAAGCAUAAUUUCCCUUGAGACUAAGUGAGUGUGAGGAUAAAUGUCUGGAAGCAGUCUCAGCACUAGGGGUUCAGAAGAACGAGGAAAAAGGAAGCAAAGCAAAGCUGUAUGAAAACUGAAUAGAACAGUGCUAUAGGAUACUUCCGAGGAAUUCCAUUAAAACAGGAUUUUCUCCCAUCCCACAGAGGUUUAACUGCCUGUCAGACAUAUAUGAUUUUUACACCAGACUUCCCAGUAAGUACAAAUUGCUCUCAGCACAUUUCAAGAACAUUUGUUAGGCCAUUUUAAGAGUUGGAAGCCAGUUGUAGUUUGGGAGCUGUUUUGUAGCUGAAAAUUAGCUGAUUUUAUAAAAUCAGUCCAUAAUGGUGAUUAGCCUCUUCAAAAAUCUUUUAUGUAAUAAUAAUUGAGAAGUCUAAUAUUUUCAAAUUGACUACUAAAUAUGUAAUGCUUUUAUAUCUAAAAUAAGUUGUGGCUGAAUUUGGUGCAUAUAAAGGCAAAGGACAAACCACACCAGCACAACUCAAAGACUGCAUGAAGAUACUCCUCAAGCUUUCACAUACAGCUAUAACUGCAUUCAAGUUCUUAUCUGCGAUACUUCCAUGUGAGACGUGGGCAAAGUCCUUGCAAAUAGUGGCAGCUCUGUGUGUGGUUCUGAUCACAACUCUUUCUCAUCCCAUGAGUAUUCCCACUGCCAUCUUUCAGUCCAGUUGGACUGCUCAAAGUCAUAAAUGUAAAAAGAAUAAAGUUAUUUCUUCCAGUAGGACAUAAUCCAAAAAUCUCAUUACUUUUAGACUUACAAAUCAUGUGAUCCUGUCUGGACUCUAUAAAAAAUUUUGAGUAUUCUGAUACUGUCAAUAACAGCUUUCAGGGAAAAUUCUGCUCAGUAAAAGCUUUAAUAUCUCAUUCUUGCUCUGGCUGUAAACACACAUCAAAAUAUUAUAUUGGAGUCUCCUGCUGAAUGAAUGUUCCCUUCUCCAAUCUAUGUAACUAAUUUUGAUUUUAGAAUGCAAAGCGUUUUAUUUCAUUUUGUGAAUUUGAAUUUGUAAGAUGAAGACAACUCAUUCAAUGCUAUUCCAUCUCCCUCUGAGACAUGCAAUAAACAUGGGUGAUAUACUGGUUUUAAGACCUA